CCAAGGCGAAACCGCGAAUGGCUCAUUAAAUCAGUUAUGGUUCAUUGGAUCUUACCUUGUCCUACUUGGAUAACUGUGGUAAUUCUAGAGCUAAUACGUGCUUCCAAGCCCCGACCGCAAGGGAAGGGCGUUUUUAUUAGAUCAAAACCAAUCGGGCUGCGGUCCGUCCUCACUGUGGUGACUCUGAAUAACUUUGAGCUGAGCGCACGGUCCUCGUACCGGCGCCGUAUCCUUCAAGUGUCUGCCUUAUCAGCUGUCGAUUGUAGGCCAUGCGCCUACAAUGGCUAUAACGGGUAACGGGGAAUCAGGGUUCGAUUCCGGAGAGGGAGCCUGAGAAACGGCUACCACAUCUAAGGAAGGCAGCAGGCACGCAAAUUACCCACUCCCGGCACGGGGAGGUAGUGACGAAAAAUAACGAUGCGGGACUCUUCCGAGGCCUCGCAAUCGGAAUGAGUACACUUUAAAUCCUUUAACGAGGAUCUAUUGGAGGGCAAGUCUGGUGCCAGCAGCCGCGGUAAUUCCAGCUCCAAUAGCGUAUAUUAAAGUUGCUGCGGUUAAAAAGCUCGUAGUUGGAUCUCAGUUCCGGACCGACGGUUCACCGCCCGGUGCUUACUGUCGGCUUCCGAACAGCCACUACGCCGGCUCGGUCGGGGUGCUCUUCAUCGAGUGUCCCGGCGCGGCCGGCACGUUUACUUUGAAAAA
rnacentral:rRNA from 1 species